GGAGCAUGCGGAUUAAUUCGAUGCAACGCGAAGAACCUUACCAAGGCUUGACAUACACCGGAAACGGCCAGAGAUGGUUGCCCCCUUGUGGUCGGUGUACAGGUGGUGCAUGGUUGUCGUCAGCUCGUGUCGUGAGAUGUUGGGUUAAGUCCCGCAACGAGCGCAACCCUCGUUCUAUGUUGCCAGCGCGUUAUGGCGGGGACUCAUAGGAGACUGCCGGGGUCAACUCGGAGGAAGGUGGGGAUGACGUCAAAUCAUCAUGCCCCUUAUGUCUUGGGCUUCACGCAUGCUACAAUGGCCGGUACAAAGGGCUGCGAUACCGUAAGGUGGAGCGAAUCCCAAAAAGCCGGUCUCAGUUCGGAUUGAGGUCUGCAACUCGACCUCAUGAAGUCGGAGUCGCUAGUAAUCGCAGAUCAGCAA
rnacentral:rRNA from 1 species